GCCUUCAAGAUGUAAUGGUCAGCACGCUGGGUGUGUAUUCCAGAGGUCCAUGGUUCGAGUCCUGGUGAAGGCG
rnacentral:tRNA from 1 species